AUACGUAGGGCGCGAGCGUUGUCCGGAAUUACUGGGCGUAAAGGGCGCGUAGGCGGCGCUUCAAGUCGUCUGUCAAAUGGGAGGGCUUAACCCUUUUUCGCAGACGAAACUGGAGAGCUUGAGAAGCAGAGAGGCAAACAGAAUUCCUGGUGUAGCGGUGAAAUGCGUAGAUAUCAGGAAGAAUACCAGUGGCGAAGGCGGUUUGCUGGCUGCAUACUGACGCUGAAGCGCGAAAGCCAGGGGAGCAAACGGGAUUAGAUACCCCGGUAGUCCUGGCAGUAAACGAUGUAUGCUGGGUGUGAGACUAGCGAUAGUUUCGUGCCGAAGUUAACGCGAUAAGCAUACCGCCUGGGGAGUACGGUCGCAAGAUUGAAACUCAAAUGAAUUGGCGGGG
rnacentral:rRNA from 1 species